AUGCGCCCACGGGACGCAGCAGUAGGGAAUCUUCCACAAUGGGCGAAAGCCUGAUGGAGCAACGCCGCGUGGGUGAAGAAGGUUUUCGGAUCGUAAAACCCUGUUGUUAGAGAAGAAAGUGCGUGAGAGUAACUGUUCACGUUUCGACGGUAUCUAACCAGAAAGCCACGGCUAACUACGUGCCAGCAGCCGCGGUAAUACGUAGGUGGCAAGCGUUAUCCGGAUUUAUUGGGCGUAAAGGGAACGCAGGCGGUCUUUUAAGUCUGAUGUGAAAGCCUUCGGCUUAACC
rnacentral:rRNA from 1 species